CGGGGCGUGGCUCAGCCUGGUAGAGCGCACGGUUUGGGACCGUGAGGUCGCGGGUUCAAAUCCCUCCGCCCCGACCA
rnacentral:tRNA from 1 species